UGAACUACAGGACACAUGAACAUCGAUAAGUUGAACGCAAAUAGCGCAUCGUGCGACACAGCUCGAUGCACAUAUCUUUGAGCGUCC
rnacentral:rRNA from 1 species